CUCUCUAUGGUUGUAUCUUUAUAGUGGUCAGGUAAGGACUACUAAUAUAUACGUUUCCUUCUCUUUAUACCACAGCACCGGUCACAAAUUUGAUCAGGAAUCCACUGUACAUUGUAGUUACAAAAUGUAGCUCCGCUAGGAAGACUUCUUUUAUUUCCAGCAACUUGCAAUUAGAUUAGGAGGACCGGCAAGCCAGAGUGCUCAUAUCAGGAGCUGCUGACACGGAGGAACCGGAAGCAGGGAGGAGGAACAUCGAAUGCAGGAUGACCCUGCUUGCCGGGCUAUCCAUUUACUGAUUUCCGAGAGAUGACGGUCUGCAAGAUGAGAUGUCAUUCUGGACGAAGAUACAAUCACUUCUGAAUCCCAAGGAACCGGAAGCAGGGAGGAGGACCGACGGAAGGACCGAAGGCCCUGCUUGCAGAGCAAGUCUUUACCAAUUCUUGAGAUUCCUCUUGGUUUCGUGUAAGCAGCAGAGACGAUGACAAUAUACAUAACGGAGUGCAGUUGUUCACCAAGGCAGGAACACGAAUUUUAGCAACACUCAACUGAGUUACAAUAGCUAGCUCCUGAAAGUUCCCAUGCGUUUCUCUUAAAAAGUCGUCACGUUUUAUUAAUCCCAGGGAUGUAUAAAGACACCAUCCCAUUCAAAAUCCUUCCGAAAACCUGCUGGAUAAAUUUAAAAGCUGUAUAUGUCAACUUAUUUAAUCAAUAGGUUUAAGUCCUACCUAAGUGGUCGUAGUCAGUCUGUGAAUAUCGAAGGCAACAUGUCAAAGGUACUGCCACUAAAAACGUUGGUGUUCCGUAGGCUAGGGGUCGAUCUUAUGUCCACUUUUAUUCAUUAUUUAUUCUAUUUGGGCGGGACAUUUCGCU